AACAAAGUUCCUCCACUUGCUAGCCACAAACUUCCUGUUUUCAUGCCUCGCCUCUGAAUCUGAUUGGAUGUGACCAACAUAGACAUAGAACGCGUUCUAUGGUGACCAAUGCCUGUAAUGCCAAUGCCAAGAUGUGUGCCUAUGACUGUUUCACUUGCUUCAGUUCAACGUCGUUUAUUUUUUAAAUAGUAGUGUUCUUCUUUUAUUUAGGUAUUUAUCGAGAAAUAAUAUCCUGAGCUGCGCGAUUUCGCAAAUCCGACAUCUGCCAAACAGACUCUGGCACAGGCUGCAUGGGUGUCUACUGGCCUGUAUUCCUUCCUGUGACUGUGGGUAGUUCACAUCCUCCAGGCUGACCCCACUGACCCCUGAUGUUACACUGCCAAGCAGUGACCAUGUCGAAGCAGAUGGCUUCAGGGACUGCAAGAAGGAUUGACAGCAGCCAGAUGGAGAGGAUCUCGAUGGCCGUGAAGAGAGGGAUGCCCACCCCCUGCACCCUGCUCCACGACGCCACAGCCCUGUACCUAGAGCAGGAGCACAGGGACAACAAUUACGGUGGGAGAGCACACGUCCAUACUCCAUAAGCAUGAUGCAUUUAAGGGUGCCUUGCCAGACACAGCGUACCAAAUCCCCCUGGUGAAAAACUGAAAAGAGCAAGUACUUGCCCUGUAGAUCAGAAGGACAGUAGUUUUUAAACAGAUAAAAUACUGAAGGACUUAAUUGCUUAUUUGUAAAUAACAAAGGAGAUAAAUUAGAGAUUCAGCAGAAAGGGCAAGGAUGAUCCAAGACUCAUGGAAAGUCACAUUGUGUUCUCCCGUGCUGUAAUAUUUAUGUUGCAAAAUACUCACUGACAGAACUAAUGUUUAUUGCUGGGAAGAAGCCAUUGAGCUUGCUUGCCAAACACACUUCUUGUUUCCUGUUGCUGGAAAUCAUGUUUGCCUGUUUGUAUCAUUAAUAACAUCUCUCAAGUGAAUGUUUUAGUAUAAUGCUGCAUCAAGAUUUCAUGUGGAAAUAUAUAUUUUUCAUGACA